CAACUUGAGAGUUUGAUCCUGGCUCAGAACGAACGCUGGCGGUAUGCUUAACACAUGCAAGUCGAACGGGCUUAGGGGCAACUCUAAGCUAGUGGCAAACGGGUGAGUAAUGCAGAGGAAUCUACCUAGCAGUAAGGAAUAAUUUUGGGAAACCAAAACUAAUACCAUAUAUUACCGACCUAGUCGGGAAAGAUGCGUCGCUGUUAGAUGAGCCUCUGUCAGAUUAGCUUGUUGGUGAGGUAAAGGCUCACCAAGGCGAUGAUCUGUAGCUGGUCUGAGAGGAUGAUCAGCCACACUGGAACUGAGACACGGUCCAGA
rnacentral:rRNA from 1 species